rnacentral:rRNA from 1 species
UACGGAGGUGGCAAGCGUUACUCGGAAUUAUUGGGUGUAAAGGGUAAGUAGGCGGUUCAUUAAGUGAGGGGUGAAAUCCUGCGGCUCAAUCGCAGAAUAGCCUUUCAAACUGAUAAACUUGAGGACGGAAGAGGGAAAUGGAAUUCGCAGUGUAAGGGUGAAAUCUGUAGAUAUUGCGAAGAACACCAACGGCGUAGGCAAUUUCCUGGUCCGUUUCUGACGCUGAAUUACGAAAGCUAGGGGAGCAAACAGAAUUAGAUACUCUGGUAGUCCUAGCUGUAAACGAUGAGUACUAGGUGUUGGCCCUUCGGGGUCAGUGCCGCAGCUAACGCAUUAAGUACUCCACCUGGGGACUACGACCGCAAGGUUAAA